GAGAAAUCAAGCUGGUGCUGACUUCAGAGCCUCAUCUCUACUGGCUAGUGUUUAUAGUACCAGAACGUGCUAUGCAUGCUAACAGGAAGGGAAAUAAUGAUCAUCAGACUUACCCAGCUGUGAACCCUGUGACCUACAACAACUGUCAGCAGUUUACAUCUUCUUGGACUCUUGGACGAAUCAGGCUGGAGAAUGGUUUCCCUAGAACAUGCCCUGAUCUAUAAGAGGCAAAGUGGAAUUCCUCUGAACUCGCCUCAGACCCUAGAAACGAAGCUACACUGAUUUGAAUCCCCUGCAGCUCAUUCUGUAGAAGGACAUCAUGGUCUGUAUGAUCUGGAGACAGACACUUCAGGAACCUGUGGUGUUUGCGAUACAAGUUUCCUGACUUUUAUGUGAAGUUGGGCCCACCACUCAUUCAAUGGCUAUUGUAGGAAAGAAAGCUCCAAAGAUUUACAGCAAUAUUAUUAGUACCAACAACCAUUAGUACUCACUUCAAGAGUGACUAAUUAGAGUUCUACUAGGUAACUUAAAUGUGGUUAUUAACGUGACAAGCAGAUCAAUAUGUGAUAAAGCAAUACCAUUUGCCAGUUCAAAACAAAUUUAUUCCGAUUAUAAUUCUCAAGUGUCAGGUUGUCAAAUGUAUUGAUCUCAAGAGACGAAUUAUAAUUAAUGCAUUACUGAAUGUCCAGUUUACCAGCUUUGCUACUGAUAGUAAAAUAUUUUUAUCUCCAGCAAGGAAAGAUCAGAGAAGUUCUGAAAAAUUUGUGUUUCAUAAAUUUAAACAUGUUGCAGUUUGAAUUUCAUGCAUUUUAACACCCCAAGAGUCAUACUUUUGCAUCAUAGAAAACAAAGGGGGUGGGGCGAGCGACUGGAGAGAUGGCUCCAUGGUUAAGAGCACUGGCUGCUCUUGCAGAGGACAUGGGUUCGAUUCCUAGCACCUACAUGGCAGCUAACGACUGUCUGUAACUCCAGUUCCAGAGGAUCCAAUGCCCUUUUUCUGACCUCUACAGGCAUUGAACAACAUGGGGGUGGGUAAAAAUGCAGAUGUCAUUUCUGAUUUUGGGUCUUGGAGUCAAGAGAAGGGAACCAGCGAAUCAGGUACUGUAGAGCAAGAGGAAGGGAAGACACUUCCCCAGGGAGAAUUCCCAAAGAGCGAUGAGCAACAGGGCCUGAACGAUGCCUUCAAGUGUUCUACGUGCUGUGUUCCUUCUUGGACAAUGGAAACUGUCAGUAAAAUUUGCAUGCAUCGGUGAUUGUGUUCCUGGGAGAUGGAGAACAUAGCAGAAAGAUGACCAUGGUCUGUGGAGAAGAAAGACCCGCAUGGCUCUUGUGACGCCUUCCCAUCUCCACCACUGGACCAAAGGCUUCUCAGCAGAAACUGUGCACUUAGUGUCCACACCCACAGUUCCCUUCACUGCCAAGGCUAUACGCCUGGUUAAACCGAACUGAAUAAAUACAGGACAAAUAUCGUGAAUUAGAUUCAACAAAAUGCCCUUUUUGGCUCCUUUAAAGCAGCUACUGGAAAGAGAGAGAGCAAGAGUGAGAGAGAGCUGUUGGAGGGGAUACAUCUUCUUUCCUAACUGACUAGAGUCUAUUGCUGCUGCAUCACUGCAAAGAACACCCGGAAGAGAGCCAGGCCUGAAGCCCAGCUGACAGCAGCAAGGUCCUCCAUGUCCGCAUCAUUUCCUCGCCGCUGAAAGUUGUGUCAUCACAGUCCCUGAGGCCACUAGUCCAUGCACGACCUUCAACCUUGCUUUUUUAAUAAUGACGCUGCAAACACAAAUGACCUACACAGUUAAAUCUCUUGCUGUAAUUGAUGCUUAUUUCUAUCAAGAGAAAUAAAACAGAAAGCUAAUUUUUUUGAUAGCUAGCUUUUUCUUCUUAAAACAUAUUUUACUUACUAUUUUUAUUUUAUGUGUCUGAUAG